UACGAGGGGGGCGAGCGUUGUUCGGAAUUAUUGGGCGUAAAGGGUGCGUAGGCGGUUUGUCGCGUCGACUGUGAAAUCCCGAGGCUCAACUUCGGGCUUGCAGUCGAUACGGGCAGGCUAGAGUUCGGGUAGGGGAGACUGGAAUUCCUGGUGUAGCGGUGAAAUGCGCAGAUAUCAGGAGGAACACCGAUGGCGAAGGCAGGUCUCUGGGCCGAUACUGACGCUGAGGAGCGAAAGCGUGGGGAGCGAACAGG
rnacentral:rRNA from 1 species